UUCUAAAUCCAUCGUUCCAAAGCCUCACGGUUAUCUUCUUUACUAGAAUCGACGCAUGAAACCUUCUUCUCUAGACCCACCAAUGUCGCAAGCCUUGAGAGAGGGAGUGAACCCAAUCGAUCCUCAUCAAUCCUCCGCCUCCCUGCGUUCUUCCUCCGCCAAUUGUCUGCCCGCUACCCAGUUUUGAAGCUUCGCCGUACUCGCUUAAGACUUAGCUAACGUUGCUACAAUGUUUGUGGCCAUAUCAUACGAGGAUUAGUUCAAAAUUUUGCAGAUUUGUUCAAGGAAUAUUUCUGGAGGGAUUGGUGAAAGUUGUUAAGUAUAAAUCAUGUAAUUCAGAACUUAAGAUUGUGAAUUCACCCUGAUCUAUGAGCUUUUGGAGAACAAACUAGGAGAAGAAGACUCUUUUUUUUUUUUGGUCAAUAGGAGAAGAAGACUCUAAAGGAAGAGAAAGCUAAGCAAGAGGACACAAAAUUGUUUGACACUAAAUGGAUCCAAACCACAUUAGUUAUUUUAUUCAAAUAUUUUUAUAAGUUAAUAUAUCA